AUUGAACGCUGGCGGAAUGCUUUACACAUGCAAGUCGAACGGCAGCACGGACUUCGGUCUGGUGGCGAGUGGCGAACGGGUGAGUAAUGUAUCGGUACGUGCCCAGUCGUGGGGGAUAACGUAAUGAAAAUUACGCUAAUACCGCAUACGAUCUAUGGAUGAAAGCGGGGGAUCGCAAGACCUUGCGCGAUUGGAGCGGCCGAUAUCAGAUUAGGUAGUUGGUGGGGUAAAGGCCCACCAAGCCAACGAUCUGUAGCUGGUCUGAGAGGACGACCAGCCACACUGGAACUGAGACACGGUCCAGACUCCUACGGGAGGCAGCAGUGGGGAAUUUUGGACAAUGGGCGAAAGCCUGAUCCAGCCAUUCCGCGUGCAGGAUGAAGGCCCUCGGGUUGUAAACUGCUUUUGUACAGAACGAAAAGGUUUCUACUAAUACUAGGAGCUCAUGACGGUACUGUAAGAAUAAGCACCUGCUAACUACGUGCCAGCCGCCGCCGUAA
rnacentral:rRNA from 1 species